AUCUUUUUUGGGUGGGGUUUAAUUAUCCUUAGUUUUCUAUCAGUUUUUGGGUGUCUCAGAUGAAAUCAGGAUUUUGAAGGGCUUCAAGUAUGUUGUGUAUCCUUUAUUUUUUCAUGGAACAUUGUAUUCGUCUUUGUUUUUAAUUUACUUCAUUGAAUCACUUUUCUAAUUUGUUGUCCUUGGACCAGCUAACUUGUUUUUGUGCAUUCAUAUGUGGGUAGCUUUUUGUUUUUUCCAAUAUUUUACAAGGUAUGGGUCACAUUUCUUGAUAUCUUAAUUGCAUGUCAAACAUCUAAACGAGUAAGAUUAGUGAUGAUGUCAGUUAUGCUGUGUCAAUACGACAAGUAGGAUAGAGGAUAAAGUAAAAGUAAAUUACUUCCUAAAAUAACCACUAAAAAUGUAUUCUAGAUUCUCCAUGCUUACACUAACAUGUGCAUGAAGAUACACACACUUGAAUAGUUGCCUAUAAGUUGAUGAGCUAUUUCUUUGAAGUUCAAAAGGAGUCAUUACCUUCCAUGCUAGAAAUGAUAGUGCUGGGGUGGUAUAAUUGCUUGCAGCUCAUGCUUUUUCUAAUUCACCCACGCAAAAUUGUUAGCAUUUUGAUUGGUUAUUCACUACUUUAUUCUUGUAUUCAUCAUCAUCAUUAUGAUCAUCAGCUAAUUAUGGGUCACCAUUGACAGAAGAUCUUAUGUAGCCAAUCCUGAGAAAGGGACAGUGUUGGUAUAUAGAGCUGUAUAGGAAUCUGUAUUUUUUGGGGGCUGACCAAACAUGCCCGUGCUAAUCACUUCCCUUAGCAGGAUAAGCUAAGAUUUGUGUCUGAUUGAUAUUGUUUGGGUCGUUCUGAGGUCUGAGCUAAUAAUAUAUAGACCUUGAGGUCUUCGCAACAUUAGUUGCACCACAUUUGAGAACCAAAAGUUAAAAACAAAUAAAGAUGAAGUAGAUGUUGUAGUUCAGAAAUUAAUGCCUUAAGCAUUUGGCUCUGUUGGGUUUGGGCUAUCAUUUCUUCCUAGGUUCAGGCAUGGGCUGGGAGUCUCCAGUCUGAGUUGUAUAUUGCUGAAUUUGUCAGCAAUCUGAAUAGAUAAUACAUCAUAUUGACCUGGUCCGUGUCCAGCCCUACUUUGCGACUGUUCUAGAGGUCAUUGUCUUCUAUGACAGUUGCAUAUUUACAAAAGGCUUCUCCUAUAACGAGUGAACAAUUGCCUAAUCAACCCUGAGAAUUGAAGUCAUUUGUUACUCCUGAAAAAGUCAUUUUGUAUAUCCAGAUUAAUUCCAGAAGAGUCAGAUGAGACGGUGAAUUUGUGGGGCAAUUUGCUAAGACAUUGUUGUAAAUUUGAUACUGGUACUUCCUCCCGCAAGAAUAAUAUUCUUCACCUUGCUUUCAAACAGAAACAUUUUUCUUUGAACACACUUCACCUUGCUUAAAAUAUCCUUUUCAGUCCUGGUUACUGUAUAUUCUUGGAGUUCUCUAUAUGUAAAUCCUUGUUCAAUAAUCAACUACUAUUUGGAGUUAAAAAUGGUGUCAAUUCGAAAUCUCUAGUAGUUCUGAUUUUUAAAAUUUGAUGGAUCACCUCUCAGGCUCUUCUGUGCACGUAUCAUGCGUGGAGGUUGAAUAUAUAUUUUCUGGGGCCUAAGACGCAGAAAAUAAAUUGGGUUUAAAUUGUAUAUAUUGUUGCCCCCAGAUCUCACUGUUGUAAUAUUCUUGAAAGUUCCUACACUUGGGUAAUAUAAUCUACCUACUAUAUUAUGAAAAUAAAUAUAAGAAAAUAUAUAUGUUGUAAUAGAAAAUUUCUUUUAGUUUUAUCUCAUGUGAUAGCCUUCAGUUGAGGGUUUGUGUAAUAUGUAUAUGUAUGCUCCAGGAGCAUCAGAGCAUGCAUGUCAACAAGCCUGUCCAAUUGAUCAGAAGACACAAACACUUGCCUUGAGAAAUUUAACUGUUUACGAUUUUGUUGCUACUUCCUGUUUGAUUUGUUAUUUUAUUGCAUAUGUUUCUGGAGUUAAAAGGCCCCUGCAGCAGAACUGGGUCUGGGAGUUGAUGUGUUCUGUAGAUGAAUAUUACAUGUUUGCUAUAGUUUUCGUACUCUAUCAGCAAUCCUGCAGAGGUUCUUGGAAUAUAUUCUACCUGGAUUGGUGCUUUUUAGUUGGCUGCGGAGCUCAUUAUGGCUUCAGUUUAAACCCCAUCAUAUUGCUGCUGGUGCUGCCUACCUUGCUGCUAAGUUUCUAAAUUUGGAUCUUGCUGCUCAUCAGAAUAUCUGGCAGGAGUUCCAGACCACACCGGCAAUUCUUCAAGAUGUUUCACAGCAGUUGAUGGAGCUCUUCUGAUAGAAUAUUACUUUUUAGUCAUAAGGAUAAAGGUCAAUGAUACCCUUUUGCUAUGUGGUAUAUAUAAUAUAUAUAUAUAUAUAUAUAUAUAUAUGUGCAUUCUUUUACCAAAUCAGGAUAUGCUUAUCAGUAGAAUGUAGAAUGAGAAGACUUGUGUCUUGAAAGGAUUGGAUAUGUUCAUAUCGUCUUUCUGAACUGGCUGCAAAGAUAUUUUGUUACAGGUAUCAACUUGUCGGAGCAAUGACAAAAUGAAAUGAUGAUUAAUUUGCCAAAUUCUACUCU